rnacentral:rRNA from 1 species
UAAUACAGAGGGUGCAAGCGUUAAUCGGAAUUACUGGGCGUAAAGGGCGCGUAGGCGGUCUAAUAAGUUGGAUGUGAAAUCCCUGGGCUCAACCUAGGAACUGCAUCCAAGACUGUAAGACUAGAGUGCUGUAGAGGGUAGUGGAAUUUCCGGUGUAGCGGUGAAAUGCGUAGAUAUCGGAAGGAACACCAGUGGCGAAGGCGGCUACCUGGACAGACACUGACGCUGAGGCGCGAGAGCGUGGGGAGCAAACAGGAUUAGAUACCCUGGUAGUCCACGCUGUAAACGAUGAGAACUAGAUGUUGGUAGGCAUGACCUAUUAGUAUCGUAGCUAACGCGAUAAGUUCUCCGCCUGGGGAGUACGGCCGCAAGGUUA